UGGUGGCCGGGGUGAUUUCCCCUCACCAUACCUCUGUUUAACCACAGUGCCUUCCAAGGGCCUUCCUCUUAAUGCUCUCCCCACUCAAGUAACUAGAUGUGGCGGCAGCCGCGUCCCCCAGCAGGACUAGCGCCUCAGGAAGGCAGAGAGGAAGAAAGGAGCAAGCUCGUGUGUUUUUCACAUGAGAAUGAACUUUGGUAUCUUGUGAAACAGCGUGUGGUUUCAAAGCACAAGCAUGUUGGGUUAGACCAAGGCUUGAUAGACUCCAUAAGAAAGAAGAAACUGGGAAGGGAGACUGCAGAGGCAGGAGAGCUUCGAGUGGGAGAACCUCACGGACCUCCAUGGAGAAGGUCCCAGCAAGCAGAGGAGCCCAGAGGACUGGGCAGGUGGCUUCCAGAUGGAUGGAUCCUAAAACAGCCUGAAGGAACCGCUGGCACAAAGCUAAGAGACUCCCAGAAUGGGACUAGCCUUCGAUCAUUUCAAGUUCCUGAUGACCCGGAAGUCUUAAAGAAGACGGAACAUCAUAACCCAUGGUCCAAAGACAUGGAAAGCGGGUAAAAGAGAGAUACCCAGAAACAGCCUGCACACAAGACCAUCCAUCAACAAUCGGCAGCAUGACAACCUUCCCAAUUCUGCCUGUAAGAGCUGCUAUUUCCCCCGAGCACAGAGCUGCGGCUGUGGGUUCAGCCUGUGCUGCCCUUCCCACAGACACAGCAAGGAGGAUCCCUGCCCAUGGCCUGCUUUCGGGUUCAACAUCUACCAGAAUAAAAGCAUUAACUGUAAUAAAGACCAUAGGCACCUCAUCACUCUUGACUGGCAGCCAGCACCAACGGAAUCCUGAAGGACCCAGGCCAACACUGUGGUGUCUGGACACAGGACAAGGUUGAAGAGAAAGCAAAGAAUGAGACCCAGUUCCCACAGUGGUGAGGCCAGAACAAGCGGAAACCGGAAUUCCACCUCCCAUGAGCACUUUAAAAGGAAGGGGGCAGCCACACGGUCUCACUGCCUACUUCACGAUGGCAGCGCCACUGUUCAGGACAGCAGGAGUGUGGACGUGGAAAUGAAACAUGGGACAUUCCUGGCCCGGCCUCUGGUCACAAGAAGAGCGGUUUGGCAGCAUAAAAGCCAAAGCUAGUGGGGUCCCUGAUGUUCCGAUGCUGCCUCUAAGCAUUUAAUCCAGCAAAAGUAAGAACAGAGCACGUGCAGACUUUUAGUGUGGAUUCUAAACUUGAGAACAUUCUGGGGUGGGGGCACCCACGGGUUGCAGUGGAAUCCCUGGGCAUCUGGGUUCACCGCAGGGACAAUGACAUUCGAGGGUGUGAUCUCCAGCCGUUGGCUCAAGGGCUGUCAGCCUUGGAUGUUUGAAAAUGGGAAUCCCAGGACCUGCCUCAUCUGUUCAGCUGGAUUUAAAGACCUCCACUCUAAACCACCUGGCCCGGCGCCCAGCAAUUCGUAAAUACCUGAUAAGUGAUACAUAGCAAUGGCAGUAAUAACAAUAAUGACCACAGUCAUUACUCUAAACCAUAAAAUUCAGGCUGCAGAGGAAGAUGGACUUUGGGGGAAUUAAAUGAGAAACAAGACAGGAGCUAUCCCUGUUCUGUCUGGGGACUGCAUGCACAAGAGACGUUUAAUUACUGAAGUUCAACAUUAAUGAUGAUUAUUCCAAAUGGUGGAACAAGGAUGGUUUUCUUUCCCUUCUUUUUGUAAAGAUUUCUGAAAUUCGAAGGCCAUUUCUGGAAACCAGA